rnacentral:lncRNA from 1 species
UAUAAAUGCGUAAAGAAGAGCCAUUACAACAGCUACUACAACGAUUUGUUUCGUAAUUUAACAUAAUUCUGGUACCAUUUUAAAGCACGAUUGAGUUCAAUGGCAAACUUCUUUUAUAAAAAUAAAAUAAAAAAAAAAUAAAAAAAAAAACAAAAACAAAAAUCUUGGCUCCCUCUAGCAAUAAUCUAAUUAACAAUGGACAAUGGUAAUUUUGAUGUACUACAUAAUCUCCCAUACUACUCACUUCUCUUUUGUUCCUCCAGAAUACCAAGAAUUCAAUUCCUAUCUGCAAAACCAAGAAUUCAAUUCCUAUCUGCAAAACCAGAUG